rnacentral:rRNA from 1 species
GAUGAACGCUGGCGGCGUGCCUAAUACAUGCAAGUCGAGCGAACGGACGAGAAGCUUGCUUCUCUGAUGUUAGCGGCGGACGGGUGAGUAACACGUGGAUAACCUACCUAUAAGACUGGGAUAACUUCGGGAAACCGGCGCUAAUACCGGAUAAUAUUUUGAACCGCAUGGUUCAAAAGUGAAAUACGGUCUUGCUGUCACGUAUAGAUGGAUCCGCGCUGCAUUAGCUAGUUGGUAAGUUAACGGCUUACCAAGGCAACGAUGCAUAGCCGACCUGAGAGGGUGAUCGGCCACACUAGAACGGGGACACGGUCCAGACUACUACGGGAGGCAGCAGUAGGGAAUCUUCCGCAAUGGGCGAAAGCCUGACGGAGCAACGCCGCGUGAGUGAUGAAGGUCUUCGGAUCGUAAAACUCUGUUAUUAGGGAAGAACAUAUGUGUAAGUAACUGUGCACAGCGUGACGGUACCUAAUAAGAAAGCCACGGCUAACUACGUG